UUACUGACUCGAUAUAAUUACCAAGUUUUGUCAUCAAAGAAUGACACCAUCAAUUUGAAAUUGGCUGUAGUAAGAAACGAAUAAGUGUUUACUAAGCAAGAUUUCAAUCAGGCGAAAACUGAGAUAAGAAGGAUAGAAGAACAUAAGGUUCAAAUUAAUUUCUGUGUACAAACACCCGGUAUGACUGACGAAAUGUACCACAUUUUGUCAUCGAAGAUUGACUCCAUGAAUUUGGAAAUGGCUCUUAUAAGGAAAGAACAAUUGCAAACUAAACAAGAACUUCGUGAGGCGAAAGAUGAAAUUGCAAAACUACAAGGACUUCAGGGCUUGGACGAGCCAGACACCACAGCUGAUGAUCUGACUGACGCACAGGGGAACGCAAGCACAAGCAGUGUCAUAAACUCCGCUCAGAAGGCAUUCCAGAACGAGAAAGCGCAAA